AGAUGUGAGGGUGAUCUGGCUGUGACAUCUGUCAUCCCAUUGAUCACUAGAGUUGAUCCAGCUGAUCUGGCUGGCUAGUCGGGUGUCCCCUUCCUCCCUCACUUGCAUACUUCCGAAGAUGCAAGCUCGGUGGAAGAGGACGACCAUCCCAGAUAGAAGGAGUGGACCGUUCUUCAGUCAAGGGUAUACGAUAGCUGUGUUCCCUUGCUAGAAACUCCAAAUAAGGCCAAGGUCCAUUUGUAGGAGAAUGUGGGAUACAAACAAAUGGUCUCCCAAUAGUUAAAAAAUACAUUUACUUGGAAAUAGUGCAUU
rnacentral:snRNA from 1 species